CACGUAGGGUGCGAGCGUUGUCCGGAAUUAUUGGGCGUAAAGAGCUCGUAGGCGGUGCGUCGCGUCGGCCGUGAAAACCUGCAGCUUAACUGUGGGCGUGCGGUCGAUACGGGCAUCACUGGAGUUCGGCAGGGGAGACUGGAAUUCCUGGUGUAGCGGUGAAAUGCGCAGAUAUCAGGAGGAACACCGGUGGCGAAGGCGGGUCUCUGGGCCGAUACUGACGCUGAGGAGCGAAAGCGUGGGGAGCGAACAGG
rnacentral:rRNA from 1 species